ensembl:lncRNA
GGCAUUUAAUUACAGAAUGUAUUACACAUUACAAACAGAGAGACAGAUUUAAACUAGUGUGUGUGUGUGUGGGCAUUUAAUUACAGAAUGUAUUACACAUUACAAACAGAGAGACAGAUUUAAACUAGUGUGUGUGUGUGUGUGUGGGCAUUUAAUUACAAAUGUAUUACACAUUACAAACAGAGAGACAUAUUUAAACUAGUGUUUCCCAACUUCCUGUUCCAACUGGCCAAUCAGCUUUGCUCCAUGCAACAAUAUGGUUUUCUGCCAAGAAAGGAGAUCUGAGAUCAGAGCGCAUACACGCACUAUACACGCACACACACGUGCACACACACACUAUAAACGCGCACACACGUGCACACACACACUAUAAACGCGCACACACACACUAAGAGAUACACACACACAAGUGUAUAUAUAUAUGUGCAUCCAGGUAAUUUCAUCAGCAAUCAUGAGUGUGUGUAAGAGAGAGUGUGUGUGUAUAUGUGUGUGUGUGUUUGUGUAAUAGUGUGUGUGUGUGUGUGUGUGUGUAUGUGUAAGAGAGUGUGUGUGCGUGCGUGUGUGUAUGUGUAAGAGAGUGUGUGUGCGUGCGUGUGUGUGUGUGAGCCUCAGACAGAUAUUUCUAAUCACAUGCUGCUAUUGCAGCUCAUACGAGGUGUCAGAAAAGUAAAGUCAUCAACAGCUCUGUGUGUGUGUGUGUGUGUGUGUGUGUGUGUGUGUGUGUGUGUGUGUGUGUGUGUGUAAUAGUGUGUGAGUGUGUAAGAGAGAGAGUGUGUGUUAGAUUUUAGAUUUUUUUUUAAAAGUUACUGAGAACUAGACACAAUGUAGAAACCCCGUUAAAAAAAACACAUCUGAGGGGAUUUGCGUCGUGUCUGAGCCAGCUAUCUAAUGUUAGCAUGCUACUAACCUACAAGGUAAACAGCAUGGGUUGGACCAAUCACAGCCCUUCGGUCUCCGUGGGUUGGACCAAUCACAGCCCUUCGGUCUCCGUGGGUUGGACCAAUCACAGCCCUUCGGUCCCCGUGGGUUGGACCAAUCACAGCCCUUCGGUCCCCGUGGGUUGGACCAAUCACAGCCCUUCGGUCCCCGUGGGUUGGACCAAUCACAGCCCUUCGGUCUCCGUGGGCCCUCCUUCAUUUCGACGGAUGGGAUGCGCACGUCAGGCCACGGAGAGGUGAUCGGAGUGAUCGGCUGUUGAACAAACACACACACACACACACACAGUUAGCAAAGCCACACACACAUUAACAGUUAGCGUGUGUGUAUGUGUAACAGAGUGUGUGUGUGUGUGUGUGUGUGUAAUAGUGGGAGUGUGUGAGUGGGAGUGUGAGUGUGUGAGUGUGUGAGCCUCAGACAGAUAUUUCUAAUCACAUGCUGCGUCCGCAGCUCAUACGAGGUGUCAG